UUGUUAUUAACUUCUGUUAUAAGUUGUUUGUUCCAUAUCCUUGCUGAUCCUCUUAGAGCUCACUAUUAGUGGGGUUAUUUUCUUUUUUAGACAUGUCCAUUGUGUAGGAGAGAGAGAAUUAGUAAGGUUAGGUAAAAGAAUCAUCAAAUUUGGAAUUGAAAUGAAAAAAUUAUGACGGUUUGAAGUUGGGAGGUUUUUUUUGUUGCUACUGUUGCUCUGUCCUAGUGGUGGUUGUUACUGCUGCUCUAUCCCUGCACUAUUUUCAUCCAACUACAUCUGUUUUCAUUCGACUAUGUAAUUUCCAUCCCGCAUUGUUGUCUUCAUCCAACUAUGUUGUUUCUAUCCAACUGAACUUAUUUUCAUCCAAUUAUAUUGUUUCCGUCCAACAGAGCCUAUUUUCAUUUGAUUGUACUAUUUUCAUCCAAAAACGCUGUUUCCAUCCAAUAAUGCCUAUAUUCAUCCAAUUACUUGUUCUAUCCAUUUUUUUGCUCAUCUAGCUACUUCCAUUUGUUAGUUCUAUCUAAUUCUUCUCUUUUUCUUAUUUUGUUAUU
rnacentral:lncRNA from 1 species